AGCGAACGCUGGCGGCAGGCCUAACACAUGCAAGUCGAACGAACCUUUCGGGGUUAGUGGCGGACGGGGGAGGAACACGUGGGAACGUGCCUGUAGGUUCGGAAUAACUCAGGGAAACUUGUGUUAAUACAGAAUGGGCCCUUCGGGGGAAAGAUUUAUCGCCUUUAGAGCGGCCCGCGUCUGGUUAGCUAGUUGGGUGAGGUAAUGGCUCACCACGGCGACGAUCAGGAGCUGGUCUGAGAGGAUGAUUAGCCACAUUGGGACUGCGACACGGCCCACACUCCUACGCGAGGCAGCAGUGGGGAAUCUUGCGCAAUGGGCGAUAGCCUGACGCAGCCAUGCCGCGUGUAUGGUGCAGGUCUUAGGAUUGUACAAUUCUUUCACCGGGGACGAUAAUGACGGUACCCGGUGAAGAAGCCCCGGCUAACUUCGUG
rnacentral:rRNA from 1 species